rnacentral:rRNA from 1 species
UACGUAGGGCGCAAGCGUUAUCCGGAAUUAUUGGGCGUAAAGAGCUCGUAGGCGGUUUGUCGCGUCUGCUGUGAAAGACCGGGGCUCAACUCCGGUUCUGCAGUGGGUACGGGCAGACUAGAGUGCAGUAGGGGAGGCUGGAAUUCCUGGUGUAGCAGUGAAAUGCGUAGAUAUCAGGAGGAAUACCGAUGGCGAAGGCAGGUCUCGUGGGCUGACACUGACGCUCAUGCACGAAAGCGUGGGGAGCGAAA